AGAGUUUGAUCCUGGCUCAGGAUGAACGCUGGCGGUCUGCUUAACACAUGCAAGUCGAACGGAGUAGAAAUACUUAGUGGCGGACGGGUGAGUAACGCGUGAGAAUCUGCCUUCAGGACGGAGACAACAGUUGGAAACGACUGCUAAGCCCCGAUGAACCGAAAGGGAAAAUAUUUAUAGCCUGAAGAUGAGCUCGCGUCCGAUUAGCUAGUUGGGGGGGUAAAGGCCCACCAAGGCGACGAUCGGUAGCUGGUCUGAGAGGACGAUCAGCCACACUGGGACUGAGACACGGCCCAGACUCCUACGGGAGGCAGCAGUGGGGAAUUUUCCGCAAUGGGCGAAAGCCUGACGGAGCAAGACCGCGUGGGGGAAGAAGGCUCUUGGGUUGUAAACCCCUUUUCUCUGGGAAGAAAGUUGUGAAAGCAACCUGACGGUACCAGAGGAAUCAGCAUCGGCUAACUCCGUGCCAGCAGCCGCGGGUAAGACGGAGGAUGCAAGCGUUAUCCGGAAUGAUUGGGCGUAAAAGCGUCCGCAGGUGGCAGUUCAAGUCUGCUGUCAAAGACCGGGGCUUAACUUCGGAAAGGCAGUGGAAACUGAACAGCUAGAGUAUGGUAGGGGCAGAGGGAAUUCCUGGUGUAGCGGUGAAAUGCGUAGAGAUCAGGAAGAACUCGGUGGCGAAGNNNCUCUGCUGGACCAUAACUGACACUCAAGGACGAAAGCUAGGGGAGCGAAUGGGAUUAGAUACCCUAGUAGUCC
rnacentral:rRNA from 1 species